ensembl:lncRNA
GGCUCGGGGUUCCAGCAGCACAUUUUUUUCUGCUCACACUUCGAGUUCCGGAACAAGUGAACGAAAGUUGGACCCCAGGAGUGGGAUGGCGCAGGAGUCGAGAAGUGACGAUAAGGAAACUAAGGCUCAGAGAUGUCAAAUACCUUCUCCAAGAUUUACUACUAGUAAAUGACAAAGCUGGAAUCCAAUCAAGUUGGAGCCAAGGUUACACAUGCCUUGUAUCUGAGACCAAGAUGUUUGGACUUUCUCUGAAGGCGAUGCAAUGCCACUGAAAACUCUUGAGCAGGAAAGGAGCCGUGUGCAGAGCCCGCAGGAGAGGGAGAGAGGAGGGGCCCCUGCAAUAGUCACACAAUUUCAGGGGAAAAAAAAUUAGUACUCGAGGUGUUGAGCGAUGGAUCUCCUUGGGACCCUGGAGAUGACCACUGUUUCCAGUUUGGGCCUCCUUGCACAUCAAGC